GUGCUUUCAAUGGCCACUAAACUCCAGGACCUCUUUUAAGGCAAUUUGAUUAAGGAAAAUUAAAGGAUGUGAAAUCUAAACUUUUGGAACUUUGAAUGGGGUGAAGGGUUAGAACUUAGAAGGCUUUUUAAGGUGAAUUAACACUGAAAUAAUGAAAUUAAAAGUAAAACAAAGGUUUGGUCAGGUUGGAAACAAAGAUUUUUAGAGGUGAUUGGGAUGAAAUUAGGGUUCACUAUGAAAACGGUAGAAUCUAUAGCUCAAAUUUGGUAUCUUGGCUAUUUUGAACGUAUCUAAGAUGAUCCUAAAGUUUGGUUAAGUUUUGGGCAGGUUAGGUUAAGGUUUGGAAAAUUGCACCUAUUAUGCGUUCUAAGGUGAAAUUGGGGUUUAGGGUUCAUGAACCUAAUUCCAGAAGUUGGAACAAGAUUCUUUGGAUGUUUUAUGAUGUGUUUAGAUGGAAUUAAUGAUGAGGAAAAGAUCUGGGUAGAAAAAAAAAAAUUUGGUGUUUAGGUACUAAGUUGGUGAAUGGAAUGGUUAAGAAAAGAACUAUGGAAUUUGAUGGAAAGAAAGGUGGAAAGAGGUCCAGAAGUGGUCUUCUUGAUAAGAAUCUUCACCACAAGAAGAACUCCAGAAUUGGUGCCUCAAAUCCCAAGAUUUGAUAGAAUCUUGAUUGCCACCCUUAAUACAAUUAAGAGAAAAGAUAAUUGCAGAACAUAAGCUUUAAGUUGGAAUCACCAAAAUCUGAAAAACUGUUAUUAAUGAAAAAA
rnacentral:misc_RNA from 1 species